UUAAUUGAAGCCAAAAUAGAGGCCUUUCAUUGUUAAUGAAAAAAUUGAGUUUUACUCCAAUUAAA
rnacentral:tRNA from 1 species